GACGAACGCUGGCGGCGCGCUUAACACAUGCAAGUCGAACGGAAAGGCCUGCUUUCCCUUGUGGAUUGCGGGUACUCGAGUGGCGAACGGGUGAGUAACACGUGAGUGAUCUGCCCCCAACUUGGGUAUAAGCCUGGGAAACUGGGUCUAAUUCCCGAUAGGACUGCAGGGUGGUGCCUGUGGUGGAAAACGAUUUUCUAGUGGUUGGGGAUGAGCUCGCGGCCUAUCAGCUUGUUGGUGGGGUAAUGGCCUACCAAGGCGGCGACGGGUAGCCGGCCUCAGAGGGUGGACGGCCACAUUGGGACUGAGAUACGGCCCAGACUCCUACGGGAGGCAGCAGUGGGGAAUAUUGCACAAUGGGCGGAAGCCUGAUGCAGCGACGCCGCGUGGGGGAUGACGGCCUUCGGGUUGUAAACUCCUUUCGACCGCGAGGAAGCCACCUGGUUGGAAGGGUGGUGACGGUAGUGGUAGAAGAAGCACCGGCUAACUACGUG
rnacentral:rRNA from 1 species